AAUGCAUUUGUGCUUUGGAGACACCGGCAUGGACUUUCAGACGCAUAUACACAACACAAUAACUGAGAAGUUAAAUCUGCAUUUGUGGAUGAAUGCUAACGUUAAAAACCUCCGCUGUAGCUCCGGUGGGUUUCAGUCAGGUGUUCAGUCUGAUUUUAAUAACUCUCUGUCCCUCUGGUAUCUUUGUUCUCUGUUAGAAAACUUCAGACUGUAAAGAAAGUCUAAACCCUGAUAAAGUUAGUGACUGACUCAGAACAGACGCUGUAACGUCUGAAUUCAGAUUAUCAGUUUGUAGAGAAACAUGGAGGUCAAAUUUAGACGUAAUCAGAAUAAACAGACUUCCUGUUGUCUCCUCCAGCCCUGACUGCAGGUUGUUGCGUUGUCUCCUUCAGGUGUUGGUGCAGUUUUUACUGAUUUCUGUGUGAUGAUGAUGAUGAAGCAGACAGAGAGGUUUUCAAUCCAGUGGUCCUCAGCCUUUCAAAGAACCAGGAGGUGUCACUGUUUAUGCAACCCUUCCUGGAGAGAGAGAGCAGCCUCCUGAUCCGGUCUGUGCAGGAGUCUCACUGAACUCCAACCCCAUCAGAAUAAACACGCUAAAGUAUUUUUUUAAGGUGAAUUAAAAGUUUUUACGGCUGUUUCAGAUGAUGAUAUCUGAUCUGACUGAUAAACAGAAGUCUGUCAAAAAGACAACAGAGCGAGCAGCAGAGUCAGACCAACACAAACACAACCAGCCGCCGUAUCUACACACUCCUCCUGCACACACACAUAUAGUACACAAACUCAGAUUGAGUGGACGGGCUUGUCAAAGCACUAAUACCCCUUGCUUGGUAUCUUCAAAAGUGACUGGAUGACAAACAUGUCUGUCAGCGCUGUGCCAAUAUAGUUUAGGGCCUCUCGUGAUGGGGCACACACCCAAUGACAGAAGCAGGUCAUUUCCGCUCGCUGGCAUCAUAAAUCCACCGUCUGGCCCCUGUCCGGCUGCUGAUGCUGCAGAACGCCACACACGGUGGACCUGUCGGAGCCCCGUGAGCUACUGCGCCGUCUCCAUGGUACACAGACACACACACGCACAGACACACUAUCAUCUCUCUCUCUUUCUGUUUAUCUCUAUUUUCAUUUAUUUAUCUUCGUCUCUCUCUCUUUUUUGUAUCUCCCUCUGUUUUUAUGUCUCUUUCUGUUUCCUCUUGUGUGUUUUGUUGAGUUUCACCUCUUUAUCUCACUUUAUUUUAUCUUUUUCUUUUGUUUUCAGUUCAGGUCUUCCUCCUCCUUCUCCUCUUUUCUCUCUCUCUUCUGUUUAUUUUUAUUCAUUUUUAUUCACUUGAGUUUGUCCAUACAGUAACUUAAAGUGCUUCACAUAAGAUAUCACAGAAUCAUUACAGGGUCAUGGAAACAUUUUAAACACUUUAAAUCAUUAAAAUCAAAAGUUGAAGUUUGGUCAAACAGCUUUAAAACAAAAGUAUAAAUCGUAGUACAGCAUGUGUUUCCAUUCACAGAUAGAGUUAUGGUUAAAGCUCUAUUAGGCGAUUUAACUGGACUGCUGUAUUUAUUAGGGGUGGGAGAGAAAAUUGAUUCACAGAAGUGUCGCAAUUUUUGGUUUUACAAUUUUUAAAUCAGUUUUUAAGUUCAAAAAUCGUUUUUUUCUUUUUUAAAUUUAACAAUAAAUCUUAAAAACUGACUUACAUGUGGUGUAUUUUUUGGGGAAAUAUGGUUCCUGGAAGCGAUAUGUUUUUGUAGGAUGGUUGGGGAAAGUCCCGCCUCCUUUCCCUCUGAUUGGCUGUGAAACAUCAUCACACGCUCAAGCCAAACGCGCGCUGUCGGCUCUGUACAUCAAACAGAACAUUACAGAACAUUAUCUCUUAUGCUUAUUAAAAAUCGAGAAAAUCGACAAUUUCGUAGAAUCGCAAUUUAAAUCUAAUCAGCAUCCAAAAAAUCGUAGAAGAAUCGAAUCGACCCGGCCCUGGUAUUUACCCUCCACUCCAGUAGGCGGCGAUAUUCCCCCUUUUAGCUUGUUACUUUGGCGUUUCCAGCUAAAAGAUAACUCUGUAUCUUUCAUACAUCGUCUGUAUAAGUGAGACAGGAGCUUUCUCUUAGGAAUACAGUCAUAUUCAGAGGUGUAAAUACUAUAAUACAUAUUUACACUGAAGUAGUUCCAGGUCAAAACCAGGUCCAGGACUGUGGAGGAUCUGAGACAGAGCUAGUUUAGAUCAGAGUCAGCGUAUAUUCCGGCUGAUAUCAGAUUUUCACCUUUUCACUGUCAUUAAAAUAUCCUGAUGAUAUUUUUGAUGUAAAAAUAAAACACUUUAUUUCAUGCUUUUAUUUUGAAGUAGCUUUUAGUGAUAACUUCCUGAUCUGAAUAAAAACCAUUUAGCAGUCUGAAAAUAUAAAUGUUGAAUAAUCUGAAGAGACUGAAGCUCUGAUGUUGUUUUUUAAUCAUAAUAAAUCAAAUAUCUCUUUCUUCUGCUCCUUCUUUCUCUAAAUCUGUUUAUUUUCAUGUUUUAAUCUUCCUAAUCUUCUAUUUCCGUGACUCUACAUUCAGUUUAUUCUCUCUCCAUACCUUUACCUGUUUCCUGUUUUUCUUAUCUUUUUAUUUUUCGAUCCAUCUCUUCCUUUUAUUUCUCUCUCUGUGUAUCCUCACUUUUCUCUAAGCUUCUGGAGCAUCUCUCAGGAUUAUUUUCUCUUGUCAGUGAAGAAAGCAAAGCUGUCAUGCCGUGGUUCACCUGUCCUUUGUGCAGCACCUGACACCUCAUAUUCCUGUCUGCAGUAAAAACUGCUCUUAAUAUACAGUAGCAGAGCAGGAAUACAGUGGGAGCACGUCAGCCGGGGGAUGAGGGAUACUGCGAGUAAUAUAUUCAUGUUUGCUUAAAUCAGGCUCAAGGUUAAAACAACACCUAUUUCUCUUGGCGUCACAUCUCUUUGGCAGAACACAGAGUUUGGACGUGCCAAACAUGACACCUCCACUCACUAAUACAAGCGAAAUAAAGGCUGAAUGAUAAAUAAGUCUGCAUUUUUUUUUCACAGCCUUUCUGCUGCUGCUCACCUCCUCCUCCUCCUCCUCCUCCUCCUCCUCCUCUCCUAGACAGAAAUGCAAAUAGGUCAUUGAGCUUCAUCCCCCUUUUGCCCUAACAUGCAAUGACAGUCUUUAAAUUCCUCUUUGAAGCCACUUCCCUAAGAAGAAAAAUAUAAGAAAGUCUCCCAUUUAGCAUGAAAAGGUAUUAAUGUUCCCCUACGUAAGGCUGGGGAUCAAAAUGUGUGCUUAAGGGAAGCCGUGACCGCUCUCAGGAAGCCAUGACCGGGGUUGAGCAGAAUGCUAAAUGCCAUACAUCCUCAAGGUUAUCUCCGAAGACAGAGCCCUUUUGGAAUCUGCCUCUGCUUUAUUUUCUUCAAUGCAUGCAUCAAGUCAGCUGAACGGGAAAAGAUGAAGGUGACUCCUAGAGCGAGUCGAAACGCUCUCUCUCUCUCUCUCUCCCCCUCGCUCUCCCCGUCUUUGCACGCCAUACACCUUGCUGUGUCUGCAAUGAAUGGUCGUAAUUUGGCGGGUCCACGACGCUCUCCGCUCUCCCCCUCAGUGCAGGUUGUGUCUGCGGACUGGGAUUAGACAGAGGUACAGUAAAGCCAGGGGCGAACACAAAGCACUUAAAUGUGAAAAGUGUCAUUUCCAUCCCCAAGUCCCUGAAUAUUGAAAUUAGGUCAUCAGUGCGGCAGAGGCCAAUUUUCACCCUCAUACAUCAUGGCUGCUGCCCCUGCACCCAAGGUCUCAUUACGCCAUACAUGGUCAAUAAGCCAUUAACAUGCAGCAGACAAUAUAAUGUCCACACCAAGACAAUGUGUCUACUGUACAGUAGCAGAGCCGUACAGUAAUGCUGCAGAGUUUUCGCAGAACUACGAGGAUCCACUUUGAGGGUUUUUGGACUUUUUUUGACGCCAGGAUUCAUUUGGAAAAGAAACGCUGGAGCUUUUGUAUUCACGGUCCUUUCUUUUCCAACAUCAGUUUGCCAGUGUGAUAUUCAUUUGUUGGAAGCUGUGCUGCAUAAACAAACAACGCCCAAGGCUACCACUGGCUGGUUAAACAACCACAGGCUGUUUUCUCUUUCCUCCACCAGAGCACAUUGUAAAUUCCUUGUUGGACCACAACACGCUCAGCUACGUUUAUUCAACAAAUAGCCGACAUGGAAUGAAUAUUUCACCUCCUAAUAUUUACCUCAGAAGAGGCUGGUGUUUGUUAUUAUGUUUCAGGCUGUAAAUAAUUGAUCAAAACGUGAGCAUUUAAAAAUCUGCAGAGUCUGAUAGUGGCAUUGUUUGAUUGAGCGCCUCCACUCCAAGUCCUGAGGAUAAAAAUGUUCCUUUGUUUGCCGCCGUCUUACAUUUCUUCCUGCCAUUACCCCGCAAUAAAGCAAACGCAUCAGCAUCCCUCUAACAAACCGAGGGCAGAUUGGGACCCCCGCCACCGCUGUAACAAAUGGGGCAAAUCAUUGUCACAACCCAUGUUUCUUUCUGCUUUAACGUGGUUACACGAGUGUGCCGGGACGUUUAUGGACUGCCUGAUCCACUGCUGGCAGAUUAAAACAAAAUCAAGCCAAACCGGUUUGAACCUCUUCUGUGACGACUCUCGCAGCAUAUUGUGCAGCGAAAAACAAACAUUUUAUUAACAAUAAAACAUUGCUUUAUUUCAUUUUCUCGCUCCCGUUCAAUCUAUUUCCCUCCACAUUUUUUUCCAGAGCACCUUCUUCCUGCUUGUGAAAAUGGGGUUUGUAUUGAUGAGCUGGGCCCAAUAUUGAUUUCCCAUCAUUCCUGGUGUGGACAUUUUCUGGUCUAUUAUACUACAGUCGCAGCAUAUUCCCAUAGCAGCCGUAAAGUGGAUAUAUGGACAACCUGACCUUGGCAAUAUGGAGAUAAUGAAAUAUCCUUAAUGACCCUUCCUGAAAGAUUUUACAGGCUGGACUAUAGACUGCCAACCCAUGUACAAUAAUAGUUAGCGGAGGAGGAUUUUAGAGGCCCAACUAAAUCUAAAGCUCACUACACGUAUUGGGAGGACUGUUAACUUGUCUGUUUUACUAGGUUAAUGUAACCAUUAAGGGCACACAGUUAUAUGAUGGCUAAUAUUACAGACUGGUUUAUAUCCAGGGGCAGUGGCAGCCAUUACUCUCUGGCUUAAGUCCUUAUGAGAGCCAGUCGUGAGGAAAACAUGAACAUUUCAGCCGCGUGUGAACGUAACAUGAUCUGUGCCGACGUUUUUGAUUAUUAUUUAUGGAUAAAAUAAUGUCUUGCACGUUUUUCACUCCCUGUAAAUACAAAAACACUCAUGAGCUCGUUUGAAAUGUAGUUUAUGAAGCUGAUUUAAGGAUGGUUUUAAAGCACCUAUAAGGAACUUUUGGUUUGUGUCAGCUUUGGCGCCCCCUGUGGACAAAGCAGUCUUUGCAUUUCUGUUCUUCUGCAUGCCAAAAUUCUCAUUCUGCUGUAUUUUCUCUGUCUAACGAAUUAUUCAGUGAGACUUUUUAAAGCUCCUAUAAGGAACUUUUGGUUAGUGUCAGCUUUGGCGCCCCGUGUGGACAAAGCAGUCGUUGCAUUUCUUUUUCUAUUCUGCCAUAUUUUUACCAUCGAAUGUAUCAUUAACUAAUAUUGUUUAUUGUUUAUCAGGAUUCACAUUAGCUUUUGUCAAGACAAAGCUAGUCUUGCUGAAAGCUAGUCUUUAAAGCUCCUGUGAGGAUUUUUUGGUUUGUGUCAGCUCUGGCGCCCCCUGUGGUCAAAGUGGUCCAGCUUAUUUCUUGUGAAAUUAGGUUUAAAUACUACACGUUGUUGUUUUCUAACAGUGAAAUGCGUCACUUACUGUAUUAGUAACAUAUAUAAGUUGUAUAAGUUGUUUGUUUAUCCGGCUGUCAAUCAUCUGCUCUGACUCCGACCUCCUCGCUUCGGUUUCAGGCGAUAGAAAUCUGACAUAAACACGGCCGGUCUCAUCACUGACAGUCUUGUUUGUGUGUUCAGAGUUAUUUUUGAGCACGUGCUGACAUGUUAUAGAAAAAACAUUUACAUUGUUUAUAGUUGUUUGUUUUUUAUAAUUAUAUCUUAAUGCAGAUUUCAUUACCAGUAUGUAAACUCUUGACAAUAGAGGUGGCCGUGACUUCAUUGAAAUAAGAUCCAAGUUUGUUUUUUGUUUUUUUUCUUUUUUUGAACUUUUGAAAAGUUUCUUUAGCAGCUAAACUUUUAAUUACUUUUCCGAUGAUCUACAUUUGUGACAGAAAUAUAGUUUUAGUGAAAGUAAUGAGCUCUUAAGAUUAGAAACAAACCUAAAAAUAAAUACAAUCAGCGCAGAGACCUAAACUGAUGUUAACGUCACAUACGACCUUUUUGUAACUCAUCCACUCAAGGGUCAAAGGUCAGAUCAGAUGUCUGAAUCGUGCUGCUGGUUGUUCGUCUCUCAAACUUCAUCUUUCUUAAAGACCCUGUUAUCCUCCCACACAUCUGACAUUGUCUUCCACGUUUGACCAUGAAGAUUAAUCGGUUUGUCCAAAAAAGGACUUCCUUCCUCUUCUUUGUCGAGAAAUCUCCUCUCAGUCAGCUGACAGACGUGCUGGUUUACAGGCGUUAAGAGACACAUAGAAACAGCAGAUACUGACUGAAUGGCAAAUAUCAGCUGAUACACGUGUCUAACUAAACUAAAGAAUCUGAGCUCUGAGCAGAUCCA